GAGGAUGUAGUUCAAAUGUUAGAGUGAUUGCUUUGCAUGCGAGAGGCACAGGGUUUAAUCCCCUGCAUCUCCA
rnacentral:tRNA from 1 species